rnacentral:rRNA from 1 species
ACCUACGGGGCGCAGCAGUGAGGAAUAUUGGUCAAUGGCCGCAGGGCUGAACCAGCCAAGUCGCGUGAGGGAUGACGGUCCUAUGGAUUGUAAACCUCUUUUGUCAGGGAGCAAAGGGCGCCACGUGUGGCGUUUUGCGAGUACCUGAAGAAAAAGCAUCGGCUAACUCCGUGCCAGCAGCCGCGGUAAUACGUAGGGGGCAAGCGUUAUCCGGAUUUACUGGGUGUAAAGGGAGCGCAGGCGGGAGAUCAAGUCAGCGGGAAAAUGUCGGGGCUCAACCCCGGCCGGCCGUUGAAACUGGUUUU